rnacentral:rRNA from 1 species
AUGGCGGCGGCUCUCGGCGCGGCGGCCACGCUCCUCGGCAAGGUGUUCACGAUGCUGUCCGCCGCCCCGGUGGCGGCAUACGUGGACAGCCUCCAGCUCGGCCACAACUCCCAGCAGAUCAGGGCCAAGCUCGCGCACAUGCGAGGCAUGCUCCACAACGCCCAGGCCCAGGUGAGCCACAACCCUGGACUGCAGGAGCUGCUGCCGGCGCUGAGCAGGAACGCCGACCAGGCGGAGGACCUGCUGGAUGAGCUCCACUACUUCCAGAUCCAUGACAGGCUCCUUGGCACCACCUACGCCACCACCCAGGCCAAUUUUCUCCGUCAUGGUCGCAAUGCUCUCCGCCACACUGCCACUAGCAGCUGGGCCGCAUGCUUUUCUUGUUCCUCUGCACAAGAUGAUGAUGAUGAGUUACGUUUCCACCCAGUGAUCUUCUCCAGGAAAAUCAAGUCGGUGUUACAGGACAUGCAGACGCACUGUGAUUCCGUCUCCGAUUUGCUCGGCAAUAUCCCAAGCAACAGCAUGGCAGUCACCCUACACCGGCCGCAGAUUGGAUCCACAAUUAUACAAGAUACAUUGUAUGGCAGGAGACACACUUUUGAGGAAACUGUCAACCGUAUCAUCAGCUGCAAACACCCUGUUUCUGUUCUUCCUAUAGUUGGUCCAGGGGGUAUUGGAAAGACAACUUUCGUCCAACAUCUGUAUAAUGAUGCAAGGACUAAAAAGCACUUUCAUGUCCAGGUCUGGGUAUGUGUAUCCACUGAUUUCGAUGUGCUGAAGCUCACCAGAGAGAUCCUUGGCUGCAUACCUGCAACUAAAGGAGGAAGCAUCAGUGUUGCAAAUGAAACAACCAAUUUAAAUCAGCUUCAGAUAUCCAUAGCAGAACGUUUCAAGUCCAAGAGGUUUCUAAUUGUACUGGAUGAUAUAUGGAAAUGUGACAGCCAGGAUCAGUGGAAGACCUUGCUAGCUCCGUUCACAAAGGGGGAAGCCAAAGGAAGCAUGCUACUUGUCACAACUCGAUUCCCAAAGGUAGCAGACACGGUGAAAACAGUUGAUCCACUAGAGCUGCGAGGUUUGGAGCCUAAUGACUUCUUCACAUUCUUUGAAGCAUGUAUAUUUGGUGAAGAUGACAAGCCUGAGCAUUACAAAGAUGAGUAUGCUGGGAUUGCACGAAAAAUUGCAGACAAGCUAAAGGGUUCGCCGUUGGCAGCCAAAACAGUUGGUAGACUAUUGCACAAGGACCUUUCUCAGAAACAUUGGAAUGGAGUUCUUGAAAAGCAUCAGUGGCUAAAGCAGCAAAAGAAUGAUGAUAUCAUGCCAUCUUUGAAGAUUAGCUACGAUUGCCUCCCUUUUGAUCUGAAGAAAUGCUUUUCCUGUUGUGGCCUUUUCCCUGAAGAUCAUGAGUUUACUUCUUCAGAAAUUAAUAAGUUCUGGGUUGCAAUAGGCAUCAUAGACUCUAAUCACCAAGCCGAUAGGAAUUACCUGGAAGAACUAGUGGACAAUGGUUUUAUCAUGAAGAAAUUCGAUUAUUGGGGUGAUCAAUGCGAGUAUAUAAUGCAUGAUUUAAUGCACGAGCUAUCUAAGAGUGUUUCUGCACAAGAAUGCCUCAAUAUAAGUGGCUUAGAUUUCAGAGCUGAUGCCAUCCCAGAAUCUGUUCGGCACUUAUCUAUCAACAUAGAAGACAGAUAUGACGCAAAUUUUGAGCAAGAAAUGUGUAAACUAAGGGAGAGGAUAGACAUUGCUAGUCUACGCACUUUGAUAAUUUUUAGAGGAUAUCAAGAAAGAAUUGCCAAGCUUUUGAAAGAUAGCUUCAAGGAAAUAAAUAGCUUGCGUGUCCUAUUUAUAGUGGUGAAGUCUGCACAAUCUUUUCCAUAUAGGUUUUCAAAACUUAUCCACCUCCAGUACCUCAAAAUUAGUUCAUCUCUCGAUGGUGACAGGGAAAUUAGUUUACCUAGUACACUAUCAAUAUUUUAUCACUUGAAAUUCUUGGACCUAUAUAAUUGGGAUGGUCGUUCUGAUUUGCCUCAAGAAUUUUGCCACCUUGAGAAUUUACAUGAUUUCCAUGCUGAAAGUGAACUCCACUCAAAUAUUCGCAAUGUCGGAAAGAUGAAGCAUCUCCAGGAGCUAAAAGAAUUCCAUGUCAGGAAAGGGAGCAUGGGAUUUGAACUGACAGAGCUUGGGGCAUUGCCAGAGCUUGAAGGAGGAUUGACUAUAUGUGGUCUUGAACAUGUGGCAACCAAGGAGGAAGCUACUGCAGCCAAACUGAUGUUGAAAAGGAAUCUGGAGGAGUUGGGAUUAGUCUGGGGAAGAGAUGGACCAACUACAGAUCAUGCUGGUAUUCUUGAUGCUCUUCAACCACACUCUAAUCUUAGAGUACUUACAAUUACAAAUCAUGGUGGUGCCGUUGGUCCUAGUUGGUUGUGUCUUGACAUCUGGUUAACAAGUUUAGAGACUCUCGCUCUAACUGAUGUGUCUUGGAGCACCCUCCCACCUUUUGGGAAGCUACCAAAUCUCAAGGAACUCCAUUUGGAGAGAAAUUCUGGAAUUCAUCAGUUUGGGCCUCGAUGUGGUGGCGCUCCAGGCAAACGUUUUAUGCGCUUGAAGGAAGUUGGGUUUUAUGAUAUGCCAGAACUUGCUGAAUGGGCUGUGGAACCUAAUUGUUGUUCCUUUCCAAGUCUUGAAAAAAUCGAAUGCAUCGGUUGUCCCAAUCUCCGUGUGAUGCCCUUGUCGGAGGUAUCUUGCACCAAUUUGCGCAGUCUUCGAGUUUCUAGGUGCCCCAAGAUAUCUCUGCCCUCCAUGCCUCACACCUCCACACUGACAGAUUUGGUUGUUAAAACAGGUGAUUCAGAGCCGUUGUUGUCUUAUGAUGGAAAGAAAUUGAUUGUUAGAGGGUAUGGGGGUACUUUGGCCUCCCACAAUCUGGAUAAAGUAGAAUACAUGGAUGUCAGAAGAUACAACAUUUUGUUCCCUGAAGAGCUGGAUGGCAGUAUUGUCUUCCGUUUAGUUAAGAGUCUGCAGUUACAUGUAUCUCAUCUUAGCAGUAGCAAAUCAUCAUCGUCAAAAGUGUUAAACUGUUUCCCAGCUCUUGCUGUGUUGCACAUAGAUCACUGUGAGGAGGAAUGUGUAAUGCAGUUCCCAUCAUCCAGCUCACUGCAGAAUCUUACCUUCUGGGAGUGCAAGGGCCUGGUUCUUGUGCCUGUGGAGAAGGAGAAUGGAGGAGGAAUUCAGGAGGACAAGUCAUUGCUUCGAUCAUUAACAAUAUGGGGAUGUGGCAAAUUGUUCUCUCAGUGGCCCAUCGGAGACUGCCCUUUCCCUGCUUCCCUGAGGAAACUUGAUGUUUACCACGAGCCAAGCAUGAAGUCAAUGGCUCCGCUCUCAAAUCUCACGUCUCUCACUAGUCUAAGGUUAAAAAUCUGCCAUAAUUUAUCAGUGGACGGAUUCAAUCCUCUCAUCGCAGUCAACCUCAUACAACUGGACGUGCAUAGGUGCAAGACCUUAGCAGCAGAUAUGCUCUCAGAGGUGGCAAGGACCAAAUUGUUCCCUGCAGGUUCAUUCAGAUUGGAGAAACUCAAUGUGGAUAACAUUUGUGGAUUGCUUGUUGCUCCUAUUUGCAACCUCCUCGCUCCGGCCCUCCACACACUUGAAUUCAGUUCUGACGGGAGGAUGGAAAGCUUCACGGAGGAGCAAGAGAAAGCGCUGCAGCUCCUCACCUCUCUCCAGAAUCUAACAUUUUCCGAAUGCGAGGGUCUGCAGUCCCUUCCUCAAGGGUUGCACCGCCUUUCUUCUCUCAAGGAGUUAUGUGUUCUUAACUGUCCAGAAAUCCGAUCGAUGCCCAAGGAGGGUCUCCCUGUUUCGCUGAGAAAACUACGGAUGGAUCGUCGCAGUCGCAGCGCUGAGAUAGACGAGCAAAUUGAGAAAAUCAAAAGAACCAACCCAGAUUUAUCCGUCUCUUGA